rnacentral:ribozyme from 1 species
AUGACCCGCAAGGCCGACGGCAUCCGCCGCCGCUGGUGCAAGCCCAGCGCCCCGCACAACGGGGCGGCGCUCAUGGGUCCACC